rnacentral:rRNA from 1 species
UCCGUUUGAUCCUGGCGGAGGCCACUGCUAUCGGAGUUCGAUUAAGCCAUGCGAGUCGAGAGGUGUAAGACCUCAGCAUACUGCUCAGUAACACGUGGACAACCUACCCUGAAGAGGGGGAUAACCCCGGGAAACUGGGGAUAAUACCCCAUAGGCUAUGGAUGCUGGAAUGCUCUGUAGUUGAAAGGUCCGCCGCUUCAGGAUGGGUCUGCGGCCGAUUAGGUUGUUGUUGGGGUAACGGCCCAACAAGCCUGUAAUCGGUACGGGUUGUGGGAGCAAGAGCCCGGAGAUGGAUUCUGAGACACGAAUCCAGGCCCUACGGGGCGCAGCAGGCGCGAAAACUCUACAAUGCGAGCAAUCGUGAUAAGGGAACUCCGAGUGCCCGUAAAAUCGGGCUGUCCGCCAGUGUAAAUAACUGGUGAAGAAAGGGCCGGGCAAGACCGGUGCCAGCCGCCGCGGUAAUACCGGCGGCUCGAGUGGUGGCCACUAUUACUGGGCUUAAAGCGUUCGUAGCUGGUCUGUUAAGUCUCUGGGGAAAUCUUCCGGCUUAACCGGAAGGCGUCUCAGGGAUACUGGCAGACUAGGGACCGGAAGAGGUGAGAGGUACUCCAGGGGUAGGAGUGAAAUCCUGUAAUCCUUGGGGGACCACCUGUGGCGAAGGCGUCUCACCAGGACGGCUCCGACAGUGAGGAACGAAAGCUGGGGGAGCAAACCGGAUUAGAUACCCCGGUAGUCCCAGCUGUAAACGAUGCGCGUUAGGUGUAUCGGUGACCACGAGACACCGAGGUGCCGAAGAGAAAUCGUGAAACGCGCCGCCUGGGAAGUACGGUCGCAAGGCUGAAACUUAAAGGAAUUGGCGGGGGAGCACCACAACGGGUGGAGCCUGCGGUUUAAUCGGACUCAACGCCGGGAAACUCACCGGACAAGACAGCUGAAUGAUAGUCGGGCUGAAGACUCUACUUGACUAGCUGAGAGGAGGUGCAUGGCCGUCGUCAGUUCGUACUGUGAAGCAUCCUGUUAAGUCAGGCAACGAGCGAGACCCA